rnacentral:rRNA from 1 species
UACAGAGGUCCCGAGCGUUGUUCGGAUUCAUUGGGCGUAAAGGGUGCGUAGGCGGCGCGGUAAGUCGGGUGUGAAAUCUUGGAGCUUAACUCCGAAACUGCAUUCGAUACUGCCGUGCUUGAGGACUGGAGAGGAGACUGGAAUUUACGGUGUAGCGGUGAAAUGCGUAGGUAUCGUAAGGAAGACCAGUGGCGAAGGCGGGUCUCUGGACAGUUCCUGACGCUGAGGCACGAAGGCCAGGGGAGCAAACGGG